UUGGCCAGCUACCAUCAGAAUUAGCUCAUUGUUCAAUAUAACCAGCGCUGGCAAGCAAAACCCAGCCGGGAGAGGGAACGGGCGGAGGGAGGGGGGGGGAGGGGGGCGGGGGUGAGAGAGAGAGACUUUCCCCCAGCCACCCCCACCCCUUUUUUUCUUUUUUUUUUUUCUCCGAGGCUGCACUUUGGAAGAGGUGCAGUCAUUCUUACCCACACCCCCUACCCUCUCUCCACUCCCCCAACUAUAAAUUCCCUUCUGUAGCAUGCUGCCCUUUUGUAAUCCACAUUUGUGUUUCAGAUCAUGUAGAAAGGACAGAAAGUGAGCAGGGAGCGGGGGCUUUUGUCUAUUGUUCUCCUUGUGCUACUUGAGAGAAACUGCAAUCCCAAGACUUAACAGAACCUAAAAAUGGUUUAUCAGCCAGGUUCAAUGAUUUGGAUAAGCCAGAAUAUCUUUCCAACCAGCCGUGGGGAUGGGGGAUUUCCAAAGGUAAAGUUAUUUAUGUGAUUUCUUUCAUACAAUAGUUUGCUAGGAUGAAAGUUUUUGGGAUGAAAAUUUAAAAUUGAAAACUCAAUGGAUUUUAUUUUACAACCACUUCCAGAAAGUAGGCAGCUCUCCUGAUUUCAUCACGAGUCUCAUGUUGCUCUGUUUUUCUUAAAGCCUUGGCUCCUUGCACCAUGCAGUUAACUGAAGAGCUCGGUUUUCAUUUUAUAAUUAUGUUUUUAGCCUUCAGGCUUGCAGAAAACAUGGACUCUUGCUGGCUGCACACCAGAAGAAAAAUAUACUAAUUUUCAAAGGCUCAUAUUUCUUAAGCUUGUCUCACAAUUUUACAAGCUUGACAUCUAAGUUUUGCAGGCUUAAUUUUGGCAAUGCUUUUCUAGCAAUGCAGAUGAAAAAGUCCAUGAUAAUGCAGCAGGAGGAGCUGGGUGAUAUUGCUUAUGUUUUGUUAAGUAUCUUGCUUGUGGUUACCUGGCUUGAGUGACAAGCAUACAAAGCAUGGCACUUUUCAUGUGAGUUUGACAAGAAGUUCCACAUACAAAGGCAGAAGAUGUGGCUCACCAGACAGCCUUAAUAAGAUUUUAUUCUAUUACCAUUACUGGUGUAAAAAUGUGAAACUGGACAUGAAAUUUCAGUAGUGAAAUAUAACAGAUCACUCAGAACCACAGGAUGUACAUGUUUUAUUUUCAUAUUCCCUUUCAAUUACUUGCUCAAGCAGGUAAGUAAAGAAGGGAACACAUGGAAAAUUUCUUUGAUUAAGUUUCAGUUUCAGGGGUUUUUUUGGUUUUUUUUUUUUUUUUUUUUAAGUUACAUUUUUUUUCCUCUACAAUGGAAUUUCUAAAGUUUAUAGAUGGAGUAUUUGCAGCCUCAUGUGCCAGCCUGCCAGUUUUUCAACUAGCAUAUAUGGCAGCACUGUGAUUCUUAGCAUUCACAGUAUUCCAAAAGUUCAGCUGAGAAAGCUGGUAGCAGUGCCAGAGCAAGAUUAAUGUGCUCUGUAGGGUCAUACUUACACCAAAUGAAUUUGCUAAUUUUAUGAAUCAGCUAUGUGUUAACUAGAUGAUUUUUAUUCAAAAUUUUAAGUUAGAAGCUUUAAGUAAGUUGCCAUUCAUCAUUAAACAAAGUUUCUC
rnacentral:lncRNA from 1 species